AACGAAUUCGAAGAAGUGAUACUCGAUGUCGAAAUCGCACUGAAUAAUCGCCCAUUGUCAUACGUCGAGGAUGACAUUCAGUUACCCGUUUUAACUCCAAAUUCAAUGAUGUUCGAACAGUCCAAUCUAUUGCCAGAGGAAGAUAUCGAAUCAAUCGAAGACGGUAAUCUGAGAAAAAGAGCAAGAUAUCUACGGCGUUGCAAGGAUGCAUUGUGGUCCCGAUGGUCUGGAGAGUACGUGAAAGGCUUGAGAGAGAGACAUAACCUUAACCAUAAGACCAAACAACUCUCUAUCAAACCUGGAGACGUGGUAUUAAUAACAUCGGAUGAACGGAAUCGAGGAAAAUGGAACAUCGGGGUGGUAGUGAAGCUGAUUAAAGGAAGAGACGGUGUUGUACGCGCGGUGAGGUUAAGAGCUGGGAAGUCAUUUAUUGAGAGAGCGGUGCAGCACCUAUGUCCAAUGGAGUUAUCAUGUGAUAUACCACAUAAGACGGAGGAAGUUACUGAACUUAAUCCCAGAGCAAGAGAAUUUAAUCCUAGAAAGGCAGCCGUAGUCGCUAGGAAUAUGAUAAAAGAGAUUGCAAAUCAAGAGGAACUAACCAUUUGAACGAUACAGUAAAUUUAUUCAUAAACUUCUAGUUAAUAAGGUUUACAUUACGGACAGGAUCAUAUUUAAUACAUACAGUAUAAAAUAGGGGGAGAGUGUCGCGAGUUUGGCAUAUUUAGUAAUAAUUUGGUUGAUAUUUGGUAGAAAAAGAAUUGUUGACAUGUAUUUGGUAGGUGAAAAACGAGAACAUAGUAUCAGCAAUAAAGUAAACUAUAAACUGAACAAAC